rnacentral:lncRNA from 1 species
CAGGAUUUCAUACAUAUCUUUCUUGUAAUGCUCCAUGAAUCAUAAUUAUUAGACACAGCUGUGAAGAAAUGAUCCAGUUUGACACUCUGAGACACUAACUAUGUGCACCACAUUUGCUCCUCUGUUGUACAUACGGGACAAAGCUGGCUCUGGACACAAAAUUUAUCCUCAAGUCCUAGACAGACUUUUUGCUCUGGGGCACGCAUGGCAAGGUCCUGUGCUGUGGAGCUGCCGCUGGCAGCUGUACACGCACACUGCCUGCAUCCCUCCCUGGCCCUGCAGCACUUCUUGGCCUUGACCCUGCUCCCCUCCCAGCAUCUCCCCAGUGCUCAGUGGCUUCAGAUUCGGAGCUGGGCCUGCAGGUUGGCAGGACUAACACAGACAGCAGAAGGUCUCAGCCUGGGAAGGCCCCUGCAUGCAGGCCGCACUGUUUCCUGA